rnacentral:misc_RNA from 1 species
AGUUGGAAACAAACAUGGGCAUUGCGCGAAAACGGCAUCGCAUGUUCUGUAUACAGAGAAGUAAAGAAUAACGUUGGUGUCAGGUGUUCCUCUGCAGUUAGCCGUUUUCUUUUGCUUUGUCAAAAAAACAAUGUUGAUGCCCAUUACCUUUCCACUUUUUUCUGCUUUAUCUGUCUCUCUCUCUUCUCGCUUUAUAUACAUAACAACAUACAUUUCUUUUUCACUGUA